UUUUUUGUUACAUUUCUAAUUAAUCUCAUUUCUUUUAUAACUCCUGGUGGACUAAGCUUGUAACAUAUAUUGCAUGUCUUAUUAAAGAUAAGUAAUGUCUCAAGUUUUCGAACUUCAUGAAUGAAAAAUAAAAUUGUUGAAGAGAACCAUCCUUAGAGGUUGUCAGGUGGUCCAUUUAGUUUUUUUUAACAAAAUUAAUAUUCUCUCCGAACUCAAUCAUAAACAAUAAUUAAAAAAAAAUUGAUACACUCAAAUAUAAGUAAAUUUUAAUCACUUUUAUCUUAUUUAUUGAUGUUAUCUCAAAAAUGCUCUUCAAUUAAUAGAGAAACUAUUUCCAAUUUUUUUUGACAAAAAUUGUAAUUACUCUUUCUUAUUAUUGUUAUCAAGUUUCAAUUAAGGACAUUUUAAAAAAAAAUUAAAUGUAAUUAAUAAAAUUAAAUAAUAUUUACUGAAUUUAUUAAUUAACACAAAGUUGAUUAAUUUUAAGUUGAAUAACAAUUUUGGUUUCCCUAAUUUUUUAAAUCCAUAAUUUUGGUCCCUUGAUUUUUAAUUGUAACAUUUGAUCUCUUUAGUUUUAUAAAUUUGUGAGUUUGAUUCCCCUGAUAAAUUAUUAACUAAUAAUUGUGAUUAUUAGAAAUAUUAAAUUAAUUAUAAAUUAUAUAAAAGUUAUUAAUCAUUAAAAAAAACUUUAAUAAAAGACUAUUAAUCUUAAUGUGUUGUUGAACACAAUAUAUGUAGAAGAGGUAUUUGCAAAAGAGGAGGAGGAACACAAUAUUGUUGAACAUUAGGAUUAAUAUUUUUAUUUAAUUUUUUAAUAAUUAAUAAUUUGAUUAAUUUAUAAUUAACUUAAUAAUUCAAUUAAUCAAAAUUAUUUGUUAAUAAUAUAUAAGAGAAUCAAAAUCACCAAUUUAUAAAACUAGAAGAUCAAAUAUUAUAAUUAAAAUUCAAGGAAACAAAAGAUUAUGAAUUUAAAAAAUUACAGAACCAAAAUUGUAAUUUAGCCUUAAUUUUACUUAUAGCUAAUGAGUGCAAGGAAGUAUAACAUUGUAAAAAAAAAAGAUUUUUUUGACAAAAAGUAUAAACUUACAAUUAAAAUUUUUUAGAAUUCAUUACUAAGAUCCUAAUUUUAAUUAAUGAAAACAUUUAAAAUAGUUGAGGGUUAUAUAUCCAAAGUUUCAUGAGUGAGAUAGGUGAAUAUGACUCAGAUUGUAGAGAGUGAAAAGGAGAGGAUGAGAAACCAGUUCAUAGAUGAAAGAAGCGACAACAAUGGUCCAAAAUCGGCCAGCAAAGGAGUCAGCAAUGAGAGCUCCAAAGAGAGGAGUGAAGCUAGAAGUUCCAUUAAAGUUGGUGAGCGUGACUGAGGCAGAUACCAAUGGCAUGUUCAGCUGCUGAGUGACCGUAGCUUAUCAUGUUUGC
rnacentral:lncRNA from 1 species